rnacentral:lncRNA from 1 species
ACAAUAAACAAGCAACACAACGUGACUACGUGGUGACACAAGCACCAAUACAAACAAUAUCCCACAAACACAGGUGGGAAAAAUGGCUAGCUAAAUAUGAUCCCCAAUUAGAGGCAACGAUUACCAGCUGCCUCUAACUGGGAACCAUACAAAACAGCAACAUAAAAAUAUUGAACUAGAACACCCCCUAGUCACGCACUGACCUACUACACCUUAGAGAACCAGGGGCUCUCUAUGGUCAGGUCGUGACAUUAACGUUUCAUGCAUGGCCUUUCUUACGAUCCUAACAAUUUACGUAUGGAUUUUCUAACGAUCCUAACGAUAUGUAUGUUCAAUCUUUUGGCAGGUAGUUGGCUCCAUACACCAUUCCCUGAGCACAUCACUAAACCCCGCUCCUGUCAUCAGAGUGAGAUCAAGGUCAGAAGAGAAUGGACUCGCUGGAUGAUUCCUCAUGUUUAUUGUAUUUGUAUUUGUAUUUGUGCCUGCAUCUAAUUACAGACCUCUGGUGGCUGAACCCUGUCUAUUGGCAUCUAAUAGCUCUCUACUAGUUCCCGUUCUACAUGGUGCUGUCGGAUCAGCGCCUUAAUAUUUUUCAUGGUCCUUUGAGCCGGAUAUCAUCACUACCACAGCCCAAGAUGUCUCAGAGCUACGCAGAGUCCAGGUGUGCAGCUGUCUCCUGUCCUCAGAUCUCUACCCAUCGCUGUUGUGUGGUUCCAGCUGAUCUCAGCUCCUGACCUGCACAGUCCUUUCCUGUCGCUGACAUGGGUCUGGCUGUCUGCUGUCCUGAGAUCUCGGCGCGUGGCUGCUGUGGAGAUCCAGCCCACCUUAGCUGCAGUUUCGGAGCCCUUACCUGUUGUUGCUGUGGAGGCCCAACUGAGCCCUGCUGCUGCGGCUUGGCCUCCUGAUCUAGGGCUUUCGUCUUGUUGCCCUGCUGCGGCCUAGCCUCCUGAUCCAGGGCCUCUGUCUGGUAGCUGCUGCCCGUUGCUGCUUUGUGGGUCCAGCCACCAAAGUAUCCACUCCUGAGACUAUCAUCAAGCUCUGCUGCAGCGGCCCCGAUGUCUCCAGUCCCGGUGUCUUCAGCCGACACCAUGCCAGGGGUCAAGAGCACUGCAGAGGUCCUCCUGUUGCCUUUUUUUGGGCAGAGGGGGUGACCGCAACCGAGUCCACCACUGCAUCCUGUUGGCUCCCCUCUUCAAGAACUGCUGUACAGCCUGCACUGGUGUCCGCCAUGUCACUCUGGUUUGGUGACCUCAAGCACCUUCCUGACGGGGUGGCCAGAUGCCCAAAGAACCAAACCCUGCUUGGCCAGAUGCCUAUGCUCUAUGUCUAUGCCCUACUUGGCCAGACACUCACAAGGACUGGACUUUUCCUUGUCUGGCUCCUUCACAGCUCUGCUUCCCUGUCUAGGACAAUGAACACACACUAGUGGCCUUCUGUCAUCCCCUUUGUUAGAGCCUUUUGUUUAGAGUUCACAUUUACACAGUAAAUGUGGGGGUGGCUGUUAGAAAGGCCAACUCUGAUUUAGUAGUUUCAGCACCCCUUUUCUAGUAGUUUAUUAUAUUUGCCCAACACCCCUUAUUUCUCACAGUAGUGGUACCUGGAAUCUGUUACAUUCCAGUCAUGUUUUCAGUUAUUAUGCUUACCAGUAUUUUGGUCCUGUAAGUGUAAUACUGUAGCUUGUGUAUUUGGUUUGGGCGCUUACAUUAUAUCUUGGUAUAAACAGUAUACUCAUGGUUAUAUUUUUUUAAAUCUUUCCAUAGAACCACGUUUAUACACUCUCACUUUUACUGUGAGCCAUCAUUACAGAGGAGUGUGGUGUGGUGAACCUUUAUCUUUAAUAAACCUGACAAUACUGUGAGCUCCAAAAGUAUUGGGACAGUGACACAUUUCUUGUUGUUUUGUCUCUGUACUCUAGCACUUUGGAUUAGAAAUGAUGGUAACACUUUACUUGACAGUUGUUAUGAUAUGGUCAUAACACUGUCAUGACACAUAUAUUUAGACCUCUUGUGACAUAUAUUGCAUUAUUUUAUGGCUGG